GGAAUAUUGGACAAUGGGCGCAAGCCUGAUCCAGCCAUGCCGCGUGAGUGAUGAAGGCCCUAGGGUUGUAAAGCUCUUUCACCGGUGAAGAUAAUGACGGUAACCGGAGAAGAAGCCCCGGCUAACUUCGUGCCAGCAGCCGCGGUAAUACGAAGGGGGCUAGCGUUGUUCGGAAUUACUGGGCGUAAAGCGCACGUAGGCGGAUAUUUAAGUCAGGGGUGAAAUCCCAGAGCUCAACUCUGGAACUGCCUUUGAUACUGGGUAUCUUGAGUAUGGAAGAGGUAAGUGGAAUUCCGAGUGUAGAGGUGAAAUUCGUAGAUAUUCGGAGGAACACCAGUGGCGAAGGCGGCUUACUGGUCCAUUACUGACGCUGAGGUGCGAAAGCGUGGGGAGCAAACA
rnacentral:rRNA from 1 species